GACGAACGCUGGCGGCGUGCUUAACACAUGCAAGUCGAACGAAGUGGCGAACGGGUGAGUAACGCGUAAUCAACCUGCCCUUCAGAGGGGGACUACAGUUGGAAACGACUGCUAAUACCGCAUAAUGACGGAGGGGAUUGCGUCUGAUUAGAUAGUUGGAGGGGUAACGGCCCAACAAGGCGAUGAUCAGUAACCGGUCUGAGAGGAUGGACCGCCACAUUGGGACUGAGAAACGGCCCAGACUCCUACGGGAGGCAGCAGUUGGGAAUCUUCCGCAAUAGACGAACGUCUGACGGAGCAACGCCGCGUGAGUGAUGACUGCCUUCGGGUUGUAAAGCUCUGUUAAUCAGGACGCGGUACCGGAAUAGAAAGCCACGGCUAACUACGUGCCAGCAGCCGCGGUAAUUC
rnacentral:rRNA from 1 species